UAGUGGCGAACGGGUGAGUAACACGUGGGCAAUCUGCCCUGCACUCUGGGACAAGCCCUGGAAACGGGGUCUAAUACCGGAUACCACCCGGGGGUGCAUGCCCCUGGGUUGAAAGCUCCGGCGGUGCAGGAUGAGCCCGCGGCCUAUCAGCUUGUUGGUGGGGUAAUGGCCUACCAAGGCGACGACGGGUAGCCGGCCUGAGAGGGCGACCGGCCACACUGGGACUGAGACACGGCCCAGACUCCUACGGGAGGCAGCAGUGGGGAAUAUUGCACAAUGGGCGAAAGCCUGAUGCAGCGACGCCGCGUGAGGGAUGACGGCCUUCGGGUUGUAAACCUCUUUCAGCAGGGAAGAAGCGAAAGUGACGGUACCUGCAGAAGAAGCGCCGGCUAACUACGUGCCAGCAGCCGCGGUAAUACGUAGGGCGCAAGCGUUGUCCGGAAUUAUUGGGCGUAAAGAGCUCGUAGGCGGCUUGUCACGUCGGGUGUGAAAGCCCNGGGCUUAACCCCGGGUCUGCAUUCGAUACGGNCAGGCUAGAGUGUGGUAGGGGAGAUCGGAAUUCCU
rnacentral:rRNA from 1 species